UUCUCCUUUGUGUUAUAGGGUCGCGUAGACGGAUAACAAAAAAUUAAAAAAAAAAAAAAAAAAAAAGUUUGUAAAUUGCGACACAAAAAUCCCGUUCUGUUUAGAGCGGCUGGAGGGGAAGAAGCAGGGAUCCUUCCUAAUUACUCUUUGCUAAGAAAUUUCAAGAUGCCCGGAGAGGGUGCUCUGGAAAUGCCUUCCACGUGUAUUUGUGACCCUGAAGUUACCUGUUCAGCCAAAACCUUUAUGUUAUGAAAUCGGUAACGUAAGCUAGGGGAAUUGACUAUCCUAUGCAAGGUUGAGGGAGCGUUAUGUGCGAGUUGUUGCUCGGUUAGUUUUUAUCAUUUGGGAAGUACUAUGCAUACAUAGCCUUUUAGAUAGCAUACUGAUCAGCAGCGUUGUCCUUGUACAGCUAGCAUGGUGACGCUUCAUACAAAGGACCGCUGCGCUUAGAGAGCAAAUGCUGAAAGCUCGUAACGCAAAUGAUGGAAUAACGUUGAAAUUACCGCCUCGCAUGUGUUGAUAACAGCGUGUAGUCGCAAUAGUGUUCAGCAGAUAACUGAAACCUUAGGCGUGAAUUUAAAAUAAUUAGCACGGAUGGGUUUCUGACUCUCCUAUUGUCUGUUAUCUCUGUGCCUUUUCCGGUAGGUUUAUUUAAACAAUGUGCCAAAGCAGACACGUGCUUGGGGGAUAUCUGUGGGGUUCUGCCCAGAGAAGGGAUGCUGCAAACCGAACGCUCUCCUGAGGAGUUCAGUCAGGUGAGAAUUCUCCGAUCACGCCCAGCGUGUGCCGCAGAGUCAGUCUUCUGUAAAGUGCACUGACAGCUUUAGAAGACACUUGGAAGAGGACGCGCUGCCUGCUGCUUGAUUUCGCAAGUUAUUUGUUUUAUGUUAGACGUUCCUUGGAGCAAAGCUGCAAAGCCCAGUAUUUCCUGCUCUUCUCUCCCCAAGUGCCCGAUCAUUAAACUUCAGAGCCAUGCUUCA